UACGGGGGGAGCAAGCGUUACUCGGAAUCAUUGGGCGUAAAGGGCGCGUAGGCGAUUCUACAAGUCUUAUGUGAAAGCCCACAGCCUAACUGUGGAAGUGCAUACGAUACUGUAGAAUUUGAGUUCAGGAGAGGAAAGCAGAAUUCCCGGUGUAGCGGUGAAAUGCGUAGAUAUCGGGAGGAAUACCAGCGGCGAGGGCGGCUUUCUGGACUGACACUGACGCUGAGGCGCGAAAGCCAGGGGAGCGAACGGG
rnacentral:rRNA from 1 species